GGGGAAUUAGCUCAGACGGGAGAGCGCCUGCUUUGCACGCAGGAGGUCAGCGGUUCGAUUCCGCUAUUCUCCACCA
rnacentral:tRNA from 1 species